GAAAGGGGAGGUGGAGGGAUGCCGGAAGACUCGACGCCAUGUAGAGUAGAUUAUGUUUGUAACACAGCUUCACAGCAGAAGGGAAGGAGAACACAGGGAAGCGGGUUUUCCAGGUCCAGUGGAGCCAUUGGAGUGUGGCAUGAUCCAAGCAGAGGGUGAAGGCCCACCCCAACAGGUUUUACCGGAGAGUGAGGACCGCACACUUGAUGGCAAGACACUCCUUUUCUACUGUGCUUUACUUAAUCUACCUCAGCGAGAGCUUGCGGCUAAUGUACAGCACGGGGCGCUCCUCCCCCUCCACCACCUGCGAGAGUACAGCCCCCAGCCCUCUGUCUGAAGCGUCUGCAAGACAAUAGGGAGAGAGAAAUCAGGGAGGAACUCCUCAACAGAGCCACAUCACAGCACAUCACUGAAUGAUAAAGUCUUUCUCAUCAUUGAUCACAAUUUUACACCUUUGCAAUCUUACAUGGUGCAGACCAAAAAACAGAUGUCAAUGGAAAUAAAUGUUGCCUG